CAGAAAAACGUGAAAGUAACUAACACAAUAAGUGACUCUUAGAGAAGCCAAAUAGCCAAGCCUAAAGAUGGGUUUUCUUCCCCAUUUUACAAAUACAAUACAGAACAAAAAAAAAAAAAAACCAUUCAGAAAACCUAUCAUCUCUUCUAAUAAGAAAAAUGAAAUUCGAGACGAUCAAAACAAGUUCCACAGUUUCCAUUGCAACUCUUUCAACAUCUCGGUUUCUCGAUGCUGCAGCUCGUUACUGUCUUCUCUCUUGCUUCAUUUCUGUAUUUGCAAAAUCAUGGACCUCUCCUUCCAGAUAAGUGUCUUUCCCUUUUUUCACUCCUUCUGUAGCAAUGAUAUGUGCUAAUCUAUUUGUUUUCCUCCAUGCAUGUUCAAAAUAACCUAUAUAAAACUUAUUACUCAUCUCCUUUGAAUACUUAAUGUAGGCACUUAUAACAGAUCUAUCAUCUUGGUCUAUUUACAGUUUCCUGAUAAUAAAUCGGACAUCCCCUUCGAUUAUCACGUUUCGAAAACCCAGAUCGCUUCUCAUUUGUGUUGCAUGUAAACAUGCCAAAUCUUCUGUCGCAAAGGGAGAAGGAAUGUGUCUAUUUAGAAUGAUUUUUGAGCUUAUCAUCUGCCCAUCGAUAUUUAUGCAUCCCAAACCCGAACAUGAUUCUUUUGUUUGAGUUUUGAAGGCUGCAUCAAAGUUUAUUUUAAUAAACACUGGAUCUGGUGGGCACCAUCUUUCCUUCAUCAUCUUUUAAGUAGGUAGAUUUUUUGCUAGAUCAUCAAUUUUCUUAAGGUAUGUUUUUAUAGAAACAACUGAUUCAUGUGAAGAUUUUUUAGCCCCUUCAUGUACCUCUUUAUUUCUUACUAUCCAAAUGGCCCAAAGAACACAGAAAACCAUUCUACAUUUGCAUGCUGAACAGGUAGACACAACGUCCAUAAGCUAGUCUUUAAAUCCAAUAUGAAGGAUAUUCGGAUUCCAUGUUACUUGUAACUACGACUAUAAUUUUUUUGCAGUUAGGCAAUCACGAAAAGUAUGUUCUAUUGUUUCAUUUAUAUCUGAGCAUUGAAGACAGAAUGAUGAGCUUCGAAGCAUUCUAUAGUGAAGAUUACCAUACGUAGGAAUGUAAUUGUUAAAUAACCUCCAAAUUGUAAUCUUAAUUUUUUAUGGCAAAUUUGUCUGCCACAGCUUCUUGUUGAAUGUGGUGUGAUUAUUAUUGCAGUUCCUAGGCUCAAUUGUAUCAUCUCCUUGUAAUAGUCUUUUGUAACCACUCCUCAGUGCAUUCUUCAAUUGCCUCCUCCUCUUCAGUUCAACCUGUCUUCCUAUAUGUGUUGGGAUAGUAGAAUGCAAAGGAUAUGCUCUACUUCAUCUGGGGAGAAAUGUCUGAUCAAGAAUUACAAAAUCCAAGCCUAGAUCGAGGAAAAGCAAAACAAGUAGACUAAGCCGAACUAGUCGUCUACAUUUUGUAAUCCGAGCUCGAGGAUAAUCAAACGUCGGAGGCAUCGAUCACACUAUCAUCCAUAGCACUUGGUAUAGUUAGAUCUUUUAUUUUGAUUGUGACAUGUAUAGGACCUUGACUUUUGAGUUUUUUGCCCUUGUUAAUUGGCCAAAUGUAUUGGCUUAAUCUAAUAUUUGUUUCAUUUUGUAUAAGGCCAUGGAAAAUGGCUAAUACUGAAAGUUAUUAUGUGAAUGCAAGCUAGUCUUUCAUGAAUGUGAAAUUGUUGUCAUGGUUGAAUA